rnacentral:rRNA from 1 species
UACGUAGGGGGCAAGCGUUGUCCGGAAUCAUUGGGCGUAAAGCGCGUGUAGGCGGUUCGGUAAGUCCGCUGUGAAAGUCCAGGGCUCAACCCUGGGAUGCCGGUGGAUACUGUCGGACUAGAGUACGGAAGAGGCGAGUGGAAUUCCCGGUGUAGCGGUGAAAUGCGCAGAUAUCGGGAGGAACACCGAUGGCGAAGGCAGCUCGCUGGGACGUUACUGACGCUGAGACGCGAAAGCGUGGGGAGCAAACAGG